UAAACAGGGGGCUAUAAAAGAUGUAACAGAUGCAAACUGUAACACAGGGCCAUUAACCCUUCCUCCGCCGGGCCCGCCCGGCCCCCCGCGCCCCGCACCUAUUGUCUCCAGCGCUGGAAGCUUUGCGGAAAACCUGGAAAUUUUGGCGAGAAAUGGUGAGAAGAAAAAGCAUGAAGAAGCCGCGGAGUGUGGGGGAGAAAAAGGUGGAAGCGAAGAAACAGCUCCCGGAGCAAACUGUACAAAACCUCGCCAAGAGUGCGGGAGGCAGGACCGUUAUUCCUGCGGAGCAGGAGAGAGAGAGACCCUGAAACACGCGCCACCUAUCUUUGUGGGGAGGGAUAAUUGAAGCGCCCUGAGCGUGAGCAUCAUGUGAAAACGUGAUCGCCAAGUUUCUCUCUGGGAAAGGAUCUGGGAUAGAUUAUACCUUGAAGUCUCCGCAAACGCUUUAGUGGAAGAAAUGAAAUUCCACCUCCCUCCCUUCCUCUCUCCCUCCCUCCCUCUCGCUCGCUCCCUCCCUCCCACCCUUCUCCACGCCCCCCCCCCCCCCCAAGCCUUUGGCAUCAUUAUCCUCACCACUAAAUCCUACAGAGUUCUGGGCGGAAAGCGGUGCACACCAUUCACUGAACUGGUGUGUCCUAAGGGGUGAAAGUUGAAGAGGAAGAUCCCGGUCCUCAAUCCGGAUCGCCUCUUCUUAUAUGGAGAUCUUAAUGACCAGAUUUGAGAUGCACAUGGAUUUCUCAGCACAGCUUCUGGAACUAAAUUCUCUGCCCUUUCUCUUAUUUUUCUUUUCUUUUCUUUUAGAUGCCAGAGCCAGGAAAGCGG